rnacentral:lncRNA from 1 species
GGAGGCGGCCCCGCCCGGCCCCUCCGCCACCACCCCCGCGCCGCAGGGUCGCGGCCAGCGCCGCGCUGCUCAUCCCCCUCAGCGCCCCGGCCGACCUGUGCUGCGGAGCGGGGUCUCCCGGCUGCCCUUUGCGGCGUUCCCUCCCCGGCAGGUCCCGCACGGCGCGGCCCCGCAGCGCCCAGGCCCCUCAAGCGACUUGCCCGGGGACUGUCGGGGGUCGCCCGGGCGGUUGGGAACGAGAGGAGCCUGGGCCGGGUCACUGGGCUCGUGCCGGCCGGGGUCGUGUUUUGGGGUCUGCAAGAGCCAGAAAAUGUCUGCAGAGCCCCUGACUCUUUUGUGGAAGUCUAAAGACUCUUUGGGGAAUUCUAAAGGGGAGCGGGAGGAGACUGGAAGGAGCCAGAGCAUCUGUGGCAUUUCUUUAGUCUUCAGUAAAGAUCUUCAGUGA